rnacentral:lncRNA from 1 species
AAAGAAAGUAACAUCAUCAGUUCUUAAAAAUAGCUUUCACCUCUGCAAAAUGUGCUCUCUAAAAGUAAAAAUCGAAGCAAUUUGGAAGGAAAAUAUCUUAUGCCGGAGGCGAUUCCUGCCAACUUCUUGAUCCCUCACCUACAAGCCGCUCGUUUCUCAAGAAGCUAAGGAUUACAAUUUACAGAGCUCAUUUGAGGGAUUUUAUUGUAAGAGUAUGAGAGUGGGCUCUGCAGCUUCGGUCUCCACACAUUGGGGUGCGUUUUUUAUGUUGUUAAUAGGGAUUUUUUGAUGGAGUAGUAUUCUAUACAUGUUAGAUUACUUUCAUGCAAGUGAUAUUUAUGUCGGAUUUGAUGAGGUUGGUCAUGGGUUUUCUGGGCUUUAUGUGUUGAAAUUGUUUAGGCAUGCUCCGUUCGGUAAUUCAUGUCAAUAAUGUACAAAAAUUUCUUCCUUACAUGUUAUUGAAAUGAAAUCCAUGACAUACAUAGAGCUCAUCUCCUUUUACUUGCUUUUUUAAUUUAAUUCAAUUUUUAGGUGAAAAUUUUAUCAAGGAAAAUUUUCAAUCAAUACGGUAUGCGAAUGAACUUUUUUUUUUUGCCAUUAUUAACAUCAGAUUUUAUGGGUUUUUACAUCAAUGAAGCUUAUAUGCCCUCUUAUACAGCAUGUAGAUGAUUAUUUUUUUUGUCUUCAUUAAAGAAAAUCUCAUACCAAUAAAGCUUGUAUUCCCUCCCUAUGAUGCUCUAUUUUGUGUGUAGUCGGUUAGUCUUACAACUUAUGCUACUUUUUAACUAUAGAUCGCUAAGGAUAACAUGAACUAACAACCGUAUUCAUAACAUCAUGGGAGAGACACAUAAUAUGAGAAUAAUUGAUCCAAAAAAGACGAGCACCAUUGUCCUUAUCAACAGAGUUAUGCACAUGGUGUUUCAAAAGAAGCUAAGAUCUAACGAGAGAUUCAAGCUCACUCAACGCAGCUAUGGGCUAGAAUACUAUUCGAUGAUAUUUGUCAUUCGACAUGUAUAUUAACA